GAGUUUGAUCCUGGCUCAGGACGAACGCUGGCGGUGCGCCUAAUGCAUGCAAGUCGAACGAGGCCCGGAAGCUUCGGCACCCGGGUGAGUGGCGAACGGCUGAGUAACACGUAAGUGACCUGCCCCGAAAAGGGGGACAAUCCGGAGAAAUCCGGCCUAAUACCCCGUACGACCCGGUGGUUGCGGCCAUCGGAUGAAAUGGUUAAUCGACUUCGGCCGGUACCCCGCUUUGGGAGGGGCUUGCGGCCUAUCAGGUAGUUGGUGGGGUAAUGGCCCACCAAGCCUAAGACAGGUAUCCGGUGUGAGAGCAUGAACGGACAGAGGGGGACUGAGACACGGCCCCCACUCCUACGGGAGGCAGCAGCAGGGAAUCUUGCGCAAUGGGCGAAAGCCUGACGCAGCGACACCGCGUGGGGGAAGAAGGCUUUCGGGUUGUAAACCCCUUUUCUCGGGGAAGAGAGAGGACGGUACCCGAGGAAUAAGCAUCGGCUAACUACGUGCCAGCAGCCGCGGUAAUACGUAGGAUGCGAGCGUUGUCCGGAUUUACUGGGCGUAAAGGGCGAGCAGGCGGCCCGUUAAGUCUCAUGUAAAAUCUCCCGGCUCAACUGGGAGGGGUCAUGGGAAACUGACGGGCUUGAGGGCAGCAGAGGAGAGUGGAAUUCCCGGAGUAGCGGUGAUAUGCGUAGAUACCGGGAGGAACACCAGAGGCGAAGGCGACUCUCUGGGCUGCACCUGACGCUGAGGCGCGAAAGCAUGGGGAGCGAACCGGAUUAGAUACCCUGGUAGUC
rnacentral:rRNA from 1 species